AUCCAGCUGACGAGUCUAAAAUAAGACGGGACAUGCGUCCUGGUU
rfam:Schistosoma rodhaini strain Burundi genome assembly, scaffold: SROB_scaffold0006215